rnacentral:rRNA from 1 species
GACGAACGCUGGCGGCGUGCUUAACACAUGCAAGUCGAACGGAAAGGCCCCCACCUUGGUGGGGGUGCUCGAGUGGCGAACGGGUGAGUAACACGUGGGUGAUCUGCCCUGUACUUCGGGAUAAGCUUGGGAGACUGGGUCUAAUACCGGAUAGGACCAUGGUUUAGUGUCUCAUGGUGGAAAAAUUAUUGUUUUGGUGCAGGAUGAGCUCGCGGCCUAUCAGCUUGUUGGUGGGGUAAUGGCCUACCAAGGCGUCGACGGGUAGCCGGCCUGAGAGGGUGGACGGCCACAUUGGGACUGAGAUACGGCCCAGACUCCUACGGGAGGCAGCAGUGGGGAAUAUUGCACAAUGGGCGCAAGCCUGAUGCAGCGACGCCGCGUGGGGGAUGACGGCCUUCGGGUUGUAAACUCCUUUCGUUAGGGACGAAGCCACACCUUUUUUGGGUGUGGUGACGGUACCUUUGUUAAGAAGCA